AGCAGCCGCGGUAAUUCCAGCUCCAAUAGCGUAUAUUAAAGUUGUUGCAGUUAAAAAGCUCGUAGUUGAAUUUCGGGGUUAGUAGGUUGGUCAUGCCUCUGGUAUGUACUGGUCUCACUGAUUCCUCCUUCCUGAUGAACCUUAAUGCCAUUAAUUUGGUGUUUUGGGGAAUUUGGACUGUUACUUUGAAAAAAUUAGAGUGUUUAAAGCAAGCUAACGCUUGAAUACAUUAGCAUGGAAUAAUGAAAUAGGACGUUCGAUCCUAUUUUGUUGGUUUCUAGGAUUGACGUAAUGAUUAAUAGGGAUAGUUGGGGGCAUUAGUAUUCAAUUGUCAGAGGUGAAAUUCUUGGAUUUAUUGAAGACUAACUACUGCGAAAGCAUUUGCCAAGGAUGUUUUCAUUAAUCAAGAACGAAAGUUAGGGGAUCGAAGACGAUCAGAUACCGUCGUAGUCUUAACCAUAAACUAUGUCGACUAGGGAUCGGAUGAUGUUAAUUUUUUAAUGACUCA
rnacentral:rRNA from 1 species